UGAGGAAUAUUGGUCAAUGGGCGAGAGCCUGAACCAGCCAAGUCGCGUGAAGGAAGACAGUCCUAAGGAUUUUAAACUUCUUUUAUACGGGAAUAACGGGCGAUACGAGUAUUGCAUUGAAUGUACCGUAAGAAUAAGCAUCGGCUAACUUCGUGCCAGCAGCCGCGGUAAUACGGAGUAUGCGAGCGUUAUCCAGAUUUAUUGGGUUUAAAGGGUGCGUAGGUUGUUCGGUAAGUCAGCGGUGAAACCUGAGCGCUCAACGUUCAGCCUGCCGUUGAAACUGCCGGGCUUGAGUCCAGUGGCGGAAGGCGGAAUUCGUGGUGUAGCGGUGAAAUGAAUAGAUGACACGAUGAACUCCGAUUGAAAAAGCAUCAUGCCAUACUGCGACUGACACUGAAGCACGAAGGCGUGGGUAUCAAACAGG
rnacentral:rRNA from 1 species